AAAGAACACAUUAAUUACCCCUGAGGCCAUGGUAUGAACAAAAACUUUGCAAAACCAAGUUAGCACACCCUAGAAUGGUUCUAGCAUGAUUACUAACCUAUGGAUUUGAUACCAGUUGAUGGGAAACCCCG
rnacentral:pre_miRNA from 1 species